rnacentral:autocatalytically_spliced_intron from 1 species
AGAAGCCGCAUGCAGGAAAAUUGCAGGAUGCGGUUUAGAUUUUGGAAAAUCUUCUCCACUUACAAUAU